rnacentral:rRNA from 1 species
CUACGAGGGGCUCCAGUGAGGAAUAUUGCACAAUGGGGGGAACCCUGAUGCAGCAACGCCGCGUGGAGGAUGACGCAUUUCGGUGUGUAAACUCCUUUUAUAUGUCAAGAAAAUGACGGUAGCAUAUGAAUAAGCACCGGCUAACUCCGUGCCAGCAGCCGCGGUAAUACGGAGGGUGCAAGCGUUACUCGGAAUCACUGGGCGUAAAGGACGCGUAGGCGGAUUGGAAAGUCAGGUGUGAAAUCCUACAGCUUAACUGUAGAACUGCACUUGAAACUUCUAAUCUAGAGUAUGGGAGGGGGAGAUGGAAUUAGUGGUGUAGGGGUAAAAUCCGUAGAUAUCACUAGGAAUACCUAAAGCGAAGGCGAUCUCCUGGAACAUUACUGACGCUAAGGCGUGAAAGCGUGGGGAGCAAACAGGAUUAGAUACCCGAGUAGUC